UCCUGCCCAGUGAUAAAUUUCAACGGCCGCGGUAUCCUAACCGUGCAAAGGUAGCAUAAUCACUUGCCCAUUAAUUGUGGGCUAGAAUGAAAGGACCAACGAAAUAAAAGCUGUCUCUAUAAGUAAAACAAAAAUUAAUCCCUAGCUGAAGAGUGCUAGAUAUUAUCGAAGGACAAGAAGACCCUAUAGAGCUUUAUUUUAACAGAGUAAUUUAACUCAAUAUAAAUUCGGUUGGGGCGACCAAGGAUGUAUAAAUCAUCCCACAUAAAAAGAUAUAUAAAUCUGAAAAAGACCCUUGAUAAAGAGCGAAAAAACAAGCUACCUUAGGGAUAACAGGCUAAUCCCACUAAAGAGUUCUUAUCCACAGUGGGGGUUGGCACCUCGAUGUUGGCUUAGGGAAUCUAUAUGGCGCAAAAGCCCUAUAAAGAUGGUUUGUUCAACCAAUAAAACCCUACAUGAGCUGAGUUCAGACCGGCGUAAGCCAGGUUAGUUUCUAUCCUCGAUAAAAAAAACUGUCUAUAGUACGAAAGGACCUAGAUAGAAUAAUUAUUAUAAUAAAAGAAUAAAUUUAAAUAAUAUAUAAUUUAAAAUAACUAUAAACUAUAGGGUAAGUUGGCAGAAUAGUGCCACCGACUUAGAAUCGGUUCAUGGGCAAAACCCACUUACUAUCUGCAACUUAGUUUAUUUAGAACACUCAACCUGCACUUGAUAAGAGAGAUUUCUCAGUAGCGGCUUGAUGUUUUGGAAACACUAGACCUUGAACGUCUAUUAAAGAUGUUCAAUUCAUC
rnacentral:misc_RNA from 1 species